rnacentral:rRNA from 1 species
GACGAACGCUGGCGGCGUGCUUAACACAUGCAAGUCGAACGGUGAAGCGCCUUCCUUUUUGGUGGGUGUGGAUGAGUGGCGAACGGGUGAGUAACACGUGAGUAACCUGCCCCCUUCUUCUGGAUAACCGCAUGAAAGUGUGGCUAAUACGGGAUAUUCUGGGUCUGUCGCAUGAUGGGUCUGGGAAAGAUCUUGUUUCGGUGGGGGAUGGGCUCGCGGCCUAUCAGCUUGUUGGUGGGGUGAUGGCCUACCAAGGCGGUGACGGGUAGCCGGCCUGAGAGGGUGGACGGCCACACUGGGGCUGAGACACGGCCCAGACUACUACGGGCGGCAGCAGGGGGGAAUAGUGCACAGUGGGCGCAAGCCUGAUGCAGCGACGCCGCGUGAGGGAUGGAGGCCUUCGGGUUGUGAACCUCUUUCGCCAGUGAAGCAGGCCUGCCUCGUAUGUGGGUGGGUUGACGGUAGCUGGAGAAGAAGCGCCGGCUAACUACGUG